rnacentral:rRNA from 1 species
UGCAAGUCGAACGAUGAACCUGCUUCGGCGGGGGAUUAGUGGCGAACGGGUGAGUAACACGUGGGCAAUCUGCCCUGCACUCUGGGACAAGCCCUGGAAACGGGGUCUAAUACCGGAUACGACCACUUCAGGCAUCUGAUGGUGGUGGAAAGCUCCGGCGGUGCAGGAUGAGCCCGCGGCCUAUCAGCUUGUUGGUGAGGUAACGGCUCACCAAGGCGACGACGGGUAGCCGGCCUGAGAGGGCGACCGGCCACACUGGGACUGAGACACGGCCCAGACUCCUACGGGAGGCAGCAGUGGGGAAUAUUGCACAAUGGGCGAAAGCCUGAUGCAGCGACGCCGCGUGAGGGAUGACGGCCUUCGGGUUGUAAACCUCUUUCAGCAGGGAAGAAGCGAAAGUGACGGUACCUGCAGAAGAAGCGCCGGCUAACUACGUGCCAGCAGCCGCGGUAAUACGUAGGGCGCAAGCGUUGUCCGGAAUUAUUGGGCGUAAAGAGCUCGUAGGCGGCCUGUCGCGUCGGUUGUGAAAGCCCGGGGCUUAACCCCGGGUCUGCAGUCGAUACGGGCAGGCUAGAGUUCGGUAGGGGAGAUCGGAAUUCCUGGUGUAGCGGUGAAAUGCGCAGAUAUCAGGAGGAACACCGGUGGCGAAGGCGGAUCUCUGGGCCGAUACUGACGCUGAGGAGCGAAAGCGUGGGGAGCGAACAGGAUUAGA